CCAAAUCCCCACCCCCUGGACGGUCCCCGGAUUGUCCUCUCGCCCACAUACAACCUAGGCCCCUCUAAGCCUCUUCAUUGAGCCUUGCUUUCCAGGCCUGAUCGAGCUUCUGAGAUGGGAGACAAAGUUAGCCCCAUUUCUCGAAGAAGGAAACUGAGGCCCGGGAAGGUUUAAGGUACUUGCCUGAGGGUCCACGGACUGGGACUCAGGUGUCCAGACUUCUAGUUCAUCAAGCCAUUUUCCCUUCAGUUUCCCCCUGACAUUUGUGGCUGUUAUUAUCUCGGCUGCAUUCACUGCCGUACUGGCCCUAGCAUGUCGGGCCCAGUGCUGGGUAUUUGGAGUAAAAGCCAGUGGGCUCCGGAGUCAGACUCUGCAGAUCGAGUCCUGGCUCAGCUAUUUGCCAGCUGAAUAAUACUGGGAGAGUUUCUUCAUCUCCCUGUGUCUCCGUUUUCUCAUCUGUAAGAGGGAGGCAAGGAUAGCUACCCCUUACAAAGCCUUUACUUCAUACCAGUCACUAUACUAAGACCUUUGUGUGUAUCCUCGCACUCAGUCCUUAGAACAGCCCUGUGAAGUAGGUAGUCUCUCCCAUCUUAGGUUAAGGGGCCACCCAGACCUUACCUCUCCUCUCCUCUCCUCUCUCAUGCAGUUGUCAUUGAUUUCAGGCCCUGCUCAGGUUCUGACAGACAAUUCAUUGAACUCAUUCUGUUAUGUGCCAGGCACUGGCUUGGACACUUGCAGCAUGUUGCCUCUGCCAACUGCCUAGAAUUUAAGCCUGACUUUGCCGCCUUACUGACCCCAGCAACUUAACCUGUCUGUGCCUUAAUUUUCUUAUCUACAGAAUGGAUAACUGAAAUUUACUAUGUCUUUAUUACAUGCGAAGUGCAGUACUGAUAUCUUUACAUACAUUGCCAUUAAAAAAAAUUCUCGGAGCCCUAUGAAGUAGGAACUUUGCAGAAGAGGAAAAACUGAGACUCAUCUCGUGGUGAGGAGUAAACGGGAUAAUCCAAAUGAACAUUUAGCAUGGGGUGAGGCACAGUGUAGGCAUUCAGCAGAUUAUGGUGAGAUGAGACUUUUGAUUACUCACUGUGAGGCAUGGUCUUUACCUUCAAGUUGCUUACAGUCUGGUGGGGAAAGAUGGACACCUACACUCCCGGAUGAGUUUCAUAAUGGAAGACUGAAGAAAUGAAGCUCAGAGCUGCUCCAGACACCCUAUAUGUGGUAGGCCUUUAUAGCGAAGUGGCUUUACAAGUGUUCUAUACUAUCUGUGAGUUGGGGACACCACAGAUGUCCUGCUCUACAGUUUGACCAGUUUGGAAUGGACAUGGGUAGUGAGUGAAAGGACCUAUUUCUGUCGUAUAGGAAGGACAUCUGAACAAGUGAGUUGUCCCCCAGGAUUGGGAUGGAGGGGUGUGCAUGUUGUGUGUAUUGUGACUGUGUGUGCUCAAGAGCUCUAGGGUUUUGUCAUAUCACCUUGACACACAUGGUGCUUAUGUUGACUGUUGAGGAUGUUGAAUAUGGAGGGAUACAGUUUAUCCUAAAUAAAUCCCCAUUGUUAAGUUCUGGGGUGAUGAAAAUUAAUUGGCAUUGUAAACAGUGAAAACCUUGGGUCUCAAGCCCCUUAGAUACCUUGUUUGUCUACUGAGAAGUAUAUAUCAGGUCUUGAAUGUCCACACUGACAUUUUACAAUAUGGAUUCUAGGUUUUUUUUUUUUCAACAUAAAGUGUAUGGAAUUUUAAAGCUUCACUUAAUGAAAUUUGCUUUGUUGAAGUUCUGUUUUGCUUUCGAAUCUGCUAACUUGCAUGGGAUUAUAGGUGUAGUAGUUUCACUUACAUCAACUUUGCAGAGCAAGGUUUGCUUUAACAAAAAAGCACGUUUUGCCAUAAUCAUACCUUUGUAGCAACAGUAGAUAUUGUAACUACUGACACUUUUGUUCUGCUUUUGAAUAAUAA